rnacentral:rRNA from 1 species
GACGAACGCUGGCGGCGUGCUUAACACAUGCAAGUGGAGCGACGAACCGGGCUUCGGCCCGGGGCAAAGCCGCGAACGGGUGAGUAUCACGUGGGUAACCUGCCCCGAUGACCGGGAUAACCCGAGGAAACUCGGGCUAAUACCGGAUGUGCUCUCCAUCCACCAGGGUGGAGAACAAAGGAAGCUUCGGCCUCCGCAUUGGGAUGGGCCCGCGGCCCAUUAGCUUGUUGGUGAGGUAAAGGCUCACCAAGGCAACGAUGGGUAGCUGGUCUGAGAGGACGAUCAGCCACACUGGGACUGAGACACGGCCCAGACUCCUACGGGAGGCAGCAGUGGGGAAUCUUGCGCAAUGCGCGAAAGCGUGACGCAGCAACGCCGCGUGAGGGAAGAAGGCCUUCGGGUUGUAAACCUCUUUCAGGAGGGACGAAGGUUCAGGCGCGAACAGCGUCCUGGACUGACGGUACCUCCAGAAGAAGCCCCGGCUAACUACGUGCCAGCCGCCGCAGUAAAUAC